GGCGUCCGGGUGAGUAACACGUGGGUAAUCUACCCUCGGGUGGGGAAUAACGGAUCGAAAGAUUCGCUAAUACCGCAUAAUGCAGCGGCACCUAAUGGUGAAUAGUUGUUAAAGCGGGGGAUCGCAAGACCUCGCGCCUGAAGAGGAGCCUGCGGCAGAUUAGCUAGUUGGUGAGGUAAUGGCUCACCAAGGCUUCGAUCUGUAGCUGGUCUGAGAGGACGGCCAGCCACACUGGCACUGACACACGGGCCAGACUCCUACGGGAGGCAGCAGUGGGGAAUUUUGGGCAAUGGGCGAAAGCCUGACCCAGCAACGCCGCGUGAGGGAGGAAAUCCUUCGGGAUGUAAACCUCGCAAGCAAGGGAAGAAUGCUUGAGACCUAACACGUUUCAAGAGGGACGGUACCUUGCGUAAGCCACGGCUAACUACGUGCCAGCCGCCGCGG
rnacentral:rRNA from 1 species